CCUACGGGUGGCAGCAGUGAGGAAUAUUGGUCAAUGGCCGAGAGGCUGAACCAGCCAAGUCGCGUGAGGGAAGACGGCCCUACGGGUUGUAAACCUCUUUUGUCGGGGAGCAAAGCGAGCCACGUGUGGUUCAUUGAGAGUACCCGAAGAAAAAGCAUCGGCUAACUCCGUGCCAGCAGCCGCGGUAAUACGGAGGAUUCGCGCGUUAUCCGGAUUUAUUGGGUGUAAAGGGAGCGUAGACGGCAUCGCAAGGCUGGAGUGAAAUCCCAUGGCUUAACCAUGGCACUGAGUUGGAAACUGGGCAGAGGGAGUGCAGGAGAGGUAAGCGGAAUUCGUAGUGUAGCGGUGAAAUGCGUAGAUAUUAGGAGGAACAUCAGUGGCGAAGGCGGCUUACUGGACUGUAACUGACGUUGAGGCUCGAAAGCGUGGGGAGCGAACAGGAUUAGAUACCCUAGUAGUC
rnacentral:rRNA from 1 species